rnacentral:lncRNA from 1 species
UAUGAAUAAAUUUGAAGAAGACAAAAAAAAAAGAAACAGACUAGGCUUGUAGCUGUAAGAGAAGUGCUCCUUGGUUGCACUCUAGAAUGCAGCAAAAGAAAAGAACAAGAAGAAUAAGAAGAACAAGAAAAAGAAGAAUAUGUAGUAGUAGUAGGAGUAGUAAUAGCAGCAGUAGUGAUAGCAAUAUUACUACUAGUUGCACUAAUAGUAGCAGUAGCAAUAUUAGCAGUAACAGGAGCAGUAACAGUAGUAGUAGUAGUGGUAGUAUCAAUAGCAGUAGUGGCAGUGAUAGCAGUAGUAGCAGUUGUACCAGUAGUAGCAAUAACAAC